rnacentral:rRNA from 1 species
GAUGAACGCUAGCGGCAGGCCUAACACAUGCAAGUCGAGGGGCAGCACAGAUUGUAGCAAUACAAUUGGUGGCGACCGGCGGACGGGUGCGUAACGCGUAUGCAACCUACCUUUUACAGGGGGAUAACGGAUGGAAACGUCCACUAAUACCCCAUAAUAUCGAGAUCGGCAUCGGUUUCGGUUGAAAACUCCGGUGGUAAAAGAUGGGCAUGCGUCGUAUUAGAUAGUUGGUGAGGUAACGGCUCACCAAGUCAACGAUACAUAGGGGGACUGAGAGGUUAACCCCCCACACUGGUACUGAGACACGGACCAGACUCCUACGGGAGGCAGCAGUGAGGAAUAUUGGUCAAUGGGGCAACCCUGAACCAGCCAUGCCGCGUGCAGGAAGACGGCUCCAUGAGUUGUAAACUGCUUUUGUAGAUGGAUAAUUGCGACCACGUGUGGUCGUUUGCAGGUAAUCUACGAAUAAGGAUCGGCUAACUCCGUGCCAGCCGCCGCAGUAAUAC